rnacentral:rRNA from 1 species
UACGUAGGGUGCGAGCGUUGUUCGGAAUUACUGGGCGUAAAGGGCGCGUAGGCGGGUUUGUAAGUCGAUUGUGAAAGCCCCGGGCUCGACCUGGGAAUUGCAGUCGAAACUGCAGAUCUUGGAUACUCGAGAGGAUGGCGGAAUUCCCGGUGUAGAAGUGAAAUUCGUAGAUAUCGGGAAGAACACCUGAGGCGAAGGCGGCUAUCUGGCGAUGUAUCGACGCUGAGGCGCGAAAGCGUGGGGAGCAAACAGG